ensembl:miRNA
ACCUUGGCUCUAGACUGCUUACUGCUAAAACUCCUCCAAAGUACAGUAACAGUCUACAGUCAUGGCU